rnacentral:tRNA from 1 species
ACUUAAUUAGCUUAAUAAAAAGCCCUCGGCUCUUAACCGGGGAGAUAGUAGAAUAAAAUAAUACUAUUAAGUU